rnacentral:lncRNA from 1 species
CAGCCCCUAGCGCAGACGGCGGAGAGCAGAGAGGGAGCGCGCCUUGGCUCGCUGGCCUUGGCGGCGGCUCCUCAGGAGAGCUGGGGCGCCCACGAGAGGAUCCCUCACCCGGGGUCUCUCCUCAGGGAUGACAUCAUCCGUCCACCUCCUUGUCUUCAAGGACCACCUCCUCUCCAUGCUGAGCUGCUGCCAAGGGGCCUGCUGCCCAUCUACACCUCACGGAGGGCACUAGGAGCACGGUUUCCUGGAUCCCACCAACAUACAAAGCAGCCACUCACUGACCCCCAGGACCAGGAUGGCAAAGGAUGAAGAGGACCGGAACUGACCAGCCAGCUGUCCCUCUUACCUAAAGACUUAAACCAAUGCCCUAGUGAGGGGGCAUUGGGCAUUAAGCCCUGACCUUUGCUAUGCUCAUACUUUGACUCUAUGAGUACUUUCCUAUAAGUCUUUGCUUGUGUUCACCUGCUAGCAAACUGGAGUGUUUCCCUCCCCAAGGGGGUGUCAGUCUUUGUCGACUGACUCUGUCAUCACCCUUAUGAUGUCCUGAAUGGAAGGAUCCCUUUGGGAAAUUCUCAGGAGGGGGACCUGGGCCAAGGGCUUGGCCAGCAUCCUGCUGGCAACUCCAAGGCCCUGGGUGGGCUUCUGGAAUGAGCAUGCUACUGAAUCACCAAAGGCACGCCCGACCUCUCUGAAGAUCUUCCUAUCCUUUUCUGGGGGAAUGGGGUCGAUGAGAGCAACCUCCUAGGGUUGUUGUGAGAAUUAAAUGAGAUAAAAGAGGCCUCAGGCAGGAUCUGGCAUAGAGGAGGUGAUCAGCAAAUGUUUGUUGAAAAGGUUUGACAGGUCAGUCCCUUCCCACCCCUCUUGCUUGUCUUACUUGUCUUAUUUAUUCUCCAACAGCACUCCAGGCAGCCCUUGUCCACGGGCUCUCCUUGCAUCAGGCCAAGCUUCUUGAAAGGCCUGUCUACACUUGCUGUCUUCCUUCCUCACCUCCAAUUUCCUCUUCAACCCACUGCUUCCUGACUCGCUCUACUCCGUGGAAGCACGCUCACAAAGGGCACGUGGGCCGUGGCCCGGCUGGGUCGGCUGAAGAACUGCGGAUGGAAGCUGCGGAAGAGGCCCUGAUGGGGCCCACCAUCCCGGACCCAAGUCUUCUUCCUGGCGGGCCUCUCGUCUCCUUCCUGGUUUGGGGCGGAAGCCAUCACCUGGAUGCCUACGUGGGAAGGGACCUCGAAUGUGGGACCCCAGCCCCUCUCCAGCUCGAAAUCGCCUCCACAGCCACGGGGACACCCUGCACCUAUUCCCACGGGACAGGCUGGACCCAGAGACUCUGGACCCGGGGCCUCCCCUUGAGUAGAGACCCGCCCUCUGACUGAUGGACGCCGCUGACCUGGGGUCAGACCCGUGGGCUGGACCCCUGCCCACCCCGCAGGAACCCUGAGGCCUAGGGGAGCUGUUGAGCCUUCAGUGUCUGCAUGUGGGAAGUGGGCUCCUUCACCUACCUCACAGGGCUGUUGUGAGGGGCGCUGUGAUGCGGUUCCAAAGCACAGGGCUUGGCGCACCCCACUGUGCUCUCAAUAAAUGUGUUUCCUGUCUUAACAAAAA